rnacentral:rRNA from 1 species
UGAGGAAUAUUGCACAAUGGGGGAAACCCUGAUGCAGCAAUGCCGCGUGAAUGAUGAAGGCCUUCGGGUCGUAAAGUUCUUUUCUAUGGGAAGAGAGAGGACGGUACCAUAGGAAUAAGUCCCGGCUAACUACGUGCCAGCAGCCGCGGUAAAACGUAGGGGGCGAGCGUUAUCCGGAUUUACUGGGCGUAAAGCGCAUGCAGGCGGUUUGGUAAGAUAGACGUGAAAGCUCCUGGCUCAACCGGGAGAGGUCGUUUAAGACUGCCAGACUUGAGUUAGGUAGAGGAGAGCAGAAUUCCCGGUGUAGUGGUGGAAUGCGUAGAUAUCGGGAGGAAUACCAGUGGCGAAGGCGGCUCUCUGGGCCUUAACUGACGCUCAGAUGCGAAAGCGUGGGGAGCGAACGGG